rnacentral:rRNA from 1 species
CAGCAGCCACGGGAAUACGGAGGGUGCAAGCGUUAAUCGGAAUUACUGGGCGUAAAGCGCACGCAGGCGGUCUGUCAAGUCAGAUGUGAAAUCCCCGGGCUUAACCUGGGAACUGCAUUUGAAACUGGCAGGCUAGAGUCUUGUAGAGGGGGGUAGAAUUCCAGGUGUAGCGGUGAAAUGCGUAGAGAUCUGGAGGAAUACCGGUGGCGAAGGCGGCCCCCUGGACAAAGACUGACGCUCAGGUGCGAAAGCGUGGGGAGCAAACAGGAUUAGAUACCCGUGUAGUCCCUGUCUCUUAUAC